UAAGGUGGUUAUAGCAUCAGGGCUCACCUCUUCCCAUUCCGAACAGAGAAGUUAAGCCUGAUAGCGCCAAUGGUACUGCACUUGUGGGAGAGUAGGUCGCCGCCUUUU
rnacentral:rRNA from 1 species